rfam:Oryza sativa Japonica Group DNA, chromosome 12, cultivar: Nipponbare, complete sequence.
AUCCCAUGAUGAGGACAGGCAGCCAUAUACUCCUGCAGAUGUUCCCAUGCUUCAGGAAUAGACUCGUCCCUCGUCUGCUGGAAACUGGAAAUUCGUCCACGAAGAGC